CAAUAGCGUAUAUUAAAGUUGUUGCGGUUAAAAAGCUCGUAGUUGGAUUUCUGCCGAGGACGACCGGUCUGCCGAUGGGUAUGCACUGGCUGGCGCGUCCUUCCUUCCGGAGACUGCGCCUACUCUUAACUGAGCGGGCGUGGGAGACGGAUCGUUUACUUUGAAAAAUCAGAGUGUUUCAAGCAGGCAUCUCGCUCUUGCAUGGAUUAGCAUGGGAUAAUGAAAUAGGACUUUGGUGCUAUUUUGUUGGUUUCGAACACCGAAGUAAUGAUUAACAGGGACAGUCAGGGGCACUCGUAUUCCGUCGAGAGAGGUGAAAUUCUCAGACCAACGGAAGACGAACCACUGCGAAAGCAUUUGCCAGGGAUGUUUUCACUGAUCAAGAACGAAAGUUAGGGGAUCGAAGACGAUCAGAUACCAU
rnacentral:rRNA from 1 species